CGACUUAUGUUGUUCUCUCAAACAUCUAUGCAGAAAUGGGCAGGUGGGAUGAGGUUCACAUGGUAAGGGGAUUGAUGACAGAUAGAGGAAUUAAAAAGAUCCCUGGGUGUAGUUGGAUUGAAAGCCAGAAAAUGCUACAUUCUUUUUGUGUAACAGACACCCCACACCCCACAGACACAGAAUAUCUAUGCAAAAUUGGUUAAAUUGGCUUGGCAGAUGAAGGCAACAGAGUAUUUUUCAAAUUCAAGACAUUUACUCAAUGAUGUGUAGAGGAGGAAUAACUCUUUCUUUAUUACCAUACUGAAAAGCUAGUAAUUUUGCUUUGCAAACAUGCUCUGUGGAACAAACUAUUAGAGUUGUUAAAAACCUUCGAGUAUAUGCUGAUUGCUAUGCUGCAAGGAAAUUUAUCUCCAAGUUUCCGUCAUUUUAAACUGGGACAAUGUUCUCGUGGAGAUUAUUGGUAAUGCUAACUGAAGCAAUCCGAAAAAUGGUAUUGCACUACAAUGAUGUUAAUCAUGUCAGACCUGCAGUGAUAAUGAAAGGACCAGGAAAUCGGUCUAAAUAUGAAAUGAAAAGCUGGAGGGGAUGGAGAGUGAGGAAAAGCAAAAAGGGAUUUUGAAAGGACCUAGAUAUUUGUACAUACAAAAUAUUAAGCAGUAAGUACUAUCGAACAAAAAGGGACAACCAAGAGAAACAACUAAAGAUCAGCCAAAACAGGGUGUUGACCCUAAACAAUGCAGGCCCCAAGGACUGAGAAACAAGGCCAUAAGAGACUAUUUGCAAACAGGUCACUUAUAGCAAAAAACCAUAGCAGGCCACUUACACUACACCAGCCAAACCAGGCCACUUAUAACACAGAUGGAGUUCGCUGUGAUCUGCUGUGCAUGAAUGAAGUUCGCUGCUGUUCACAAAGAAGUUCGCUAUGUUCUGCUACUCACAAAAGGAGUUCCCUUAUCUUACAUUUGUUUAUUUUGCAUUUUAUUUGAGCUACAUUGAUGAUAUUGUGAAGAAUGUAUGCUUUAUUUAUAGGAGAUCAAACACCCCUAACCAAGUCGGCUUUACCCUUUUAAUUUGUAAAUUGAUUUAUAUAAUUUCUUUUGUUUGUAGAGGAUAGGUCGGCCCUAUCAAGGUGCAGCGUGGGGACCUUUAGGUGUAGCGUGGGGACCUUUUGGAGUGGCCGAAGGGUAUAGGACCUGGCCCCAUAUAUUGGAGAAGGGGCUGGCCCCCUUAGGCGGAUUCCAAUGUUGCCCAAGGCAAUUGGAAUCCGCCAGGCCCUAAUUAUAAACAACAAAAAAAUCAUGAUUUUUUAAUUUGUUUUAU